AACGAACGCUGGCGGCGUGCCUAACACAUGCAAGUCGAACGGAUGUAGCAAUACAUUAGUGGCGCACGGGUGAGUAACGCGUGGGAAUCUGCCUUAUAGACUGGGAUAACACUGGGAAACUAGUGCUAAUACCGGAUACGCCCUUAGGGGGAAAGUUUUUCGCUAUAAGAUGAGCCCGCGUUGGAUUAGCUAGUUGGUGAGGUAAAGGCUCACCAAGGCGACGAUCCAUAGCUGGUCUGAGAGGAUGAUCAGCCACACUGGGACUGAGACACGGCCCAGACUCCUACGGGAGGCAGCAGUGGGGAAUAUUGGACAAUGGGGGCAACCCUGAUCCAGCAACGCCGCGUGGAUGAUGAAGGUCUUCGGAUUGUAAAGUCCUUUUGGCGGGGACGAUGAUGACGGUACCCGCAGAAUAAGCUCCGGCUAACUUCGUGCCAGCAGCCGCCGUAA
rnacentral:rRNA from 1 species